rnacentral:lncRNA from 1 species
UGUGUUUCCUCUUCUACAACAUUUAAAAGCAGUGCAUCCUUGCAGACUCAAAGCACUAUCUGUCGUCCAUCAGUCAUCAUGAAUCUAAUAACCGCAUUUCUGCUAAUGAUCCUAACAGGACAUAGCACAUCUGAAUAUCUGCAGAAACUCUUCUGCUCCUAUGAGAACAAGAACAUAACUCUGAGGCCCAGGGUGUGGUGCAAAAGAGAUGCCCAGGAUGAAAACUGCUGUACGGGCUUCUCUUUCCAGCCAAGCGUCAAGCAUUUGGAGCAAGGCAACAUAGCUGUGGAGGAUGAUGGAAAGUCCUUCACCAUCUCGGUAAAGACACUCACGCAAGGGGAUGGAGUCUACUGGUGUGGGUUCAUUACUGGAGACAAGAUCAUUGUAAAACUGGCCGAGGGUUACUUUAGCAACAGUAAGACGAAAUACUACUUCUCUAUUUCUCUUUAGAUGGUUUCCUGAGUGUAAGUGAGCACCAUGUUAAAAAUACUUUCAGCAUGUUUUAAUUUUCUUCAUUUUAAUUUACAAUUUUAAAUAAAUAUCUCUGGAAUUUACGGUAAAGAAAAAAAAAAGGCAAUUGCGGUUACUGAAACUUUACGGAAGCAACAUUUAAGGUUUUAUGGAUUUAAGUAGUAAAAAUCGUAGGCUAUAUUUCAUUAAUCAACUUAAGCUAAUGUUAAUGUACCAUCCUCCUGACGGACUUCUGUUUUGUUCCUGAAAAAUAUCAAAUGUGAAGUGUCACAGCGCAUUUCAGUUUACAUUUUUUUACUGUAAAAAGACAACUUGUUCCACAUCCAACAACUGUAAAUUUAAGAGUAUUUUACUGUUUAAGUAAGUUACAUGAAAUGCCCCUUUAGAUUUCUUACUGUUUUUCACCGUAACGUUAAUUAACAGAUUUUUACCAUAGCAUUUGAACUCUCUUUUACUAUUAAAAGAUAAUUUUUUACAAUUUAUUAAUCUAUGAUCAUAUCAAUUGCAGCUCCAUUUAACUUUGUUUGGUCCAUCCUCCGCUGGAUUUUAUUUAUUUUGCUCCCUGUGGCGAUCAUUUCAACUCACAUUUAUUCAAACAGUGAGUCCUCGCAAACCACCUCAAUAAUAAAAACCUCAAUAGCCUACUAAAAAAAAUCUUUGAACACGUCUUUAACCUCUGUAAAUGUGUAUUUUUAUUUGAUUACAUGUCACUGUUUUGCUGACCAUAGGAAAACAUGGAGAUGCUAAGGUAAGAGCACACGGGUUCAUUUAGUCUCCGCUGAUAACAUCAAUAAAAUGUGGGUUUUUAACUUAAAUUAUCCUAUUUGCAGACAACAUAACACAUUACAUGAUGUCACAUGCCACAGAAAAGUGGAUGGAAGAAUGAGGCCGUCACCUUUAAUGAAGAAUAAACACAAUAUCAUUUAACUUCAGCCACCAUCGAGUGUAAAGUGUGUUGUAAUUCCUUGUAAUUGUUUAGCUUUUUUUUGUUUUUAAAUACAAAAAGGUUCACAGUGACAAGCAGCAUGACAAUAUUUCAUUUUUUAUGUAAAUCAACGUACAAUUUGGUGC